UCCCUGGUGGCUCAGAGGUUAAAGCGUCUGCCUGCCAUGCAGGAGACCUGGGUUCGAUCCCUGGGUGGGGAA
rnacentral:tRNA from 1 species